rnacentral:lncRNA from 1 species
UCCACAAGAAAAUGUCCUUCUGAGUUCGUCUAGGAAAAUAAGAGUCCCAUAAAACCCAGCUCAAGUAUUUAGUAGACAGAAGAUGGAGAUCUGAGAGGCUUACAGGAGAAAAAGUUAAGGAGCCCGUCAAGAAGAGGAUGGACAGACCAAAGAAAACAGCCCACGGCAGCAGACACCUGAGAUACAGAAUCAUGCUUUUGAGGAUCAGUUGGAGGAAAGAAAAACAGUUCCACCCCAAAGCUCCCAUAACCAAAAGCCAUGGAUACCUGCUCUUGUCAAUAACAUAGAAAAUCUAUUGAAAACCUUCCACACGAUAAGGAGGGGACUGCAUCGCGAGGUCCCAUUUGGGUCUACCAACCCUGACUCUAAGACCAGCCCUGACUCCAAGGAGGCUUGUACCCCCGUCAUGAGUGUGAAGCCAGGAGUGCCAGGGGUGUGACCACAUCUCUCCCUUGUCCCAGUAUGUCCCGGGGGGCAUGUCAGCCAGCAGCAUCACCAGGAACAGGAAUACAGUAGCCCCCAUUACAGUGAUACAUGAGUAAGUGCUGUUUCCAUUCCAAAUACAGCGGCAGGAACCAGCGAGGCAGUGGCCUUCUCCUGCCCCAUGCAAGUUAAAAAUAUAGCCUGCCUCUGUGCACACUCCCGUCUUAGCCCUGCACAUUUAAAAAUACACCCGUCAGUGGCUCUGCAUUUGAAAAU